CGGUAUCUGUAGUUCUUCCAGAUAGAGGGAAGCUGCCACAAGUGUCGGAAGGGAUCGUCUCCUCGCUGCUCUCGGCAGAUCUUACACUCAAGAAGAGUUUGAAGAUCUGUGUUUUAGUUUCGGGAUUGAACUUGAUGAUGUGACUACGGAGAAAGCGAUAAUUUCGAAAGAGAAGCAUUUGGAGGAGGAAAAACCUAAUUCUGACGAUGAAAUUAUUUACAAGAUUGUACCUGCUAACGGGUAUGACUUUGUUUGAAAGGGCUUGCACAAGCCCUUCGCAUUUUCAAUGGAUAAGAGAAGAUACCCAGAUGCACAGUUGCAUAGAUGAGUUAAGGAAUCGAUGCUUAAAAUGCAUGUGGAAAAAGAGACAUCUCUAAUCCGGCCCUUUGUUGUUUGUGCGGUUUUGAGGGGCAUAAAUUUUGAUGAAGCUAGCUAUAACAGCUUCAUUGAUCUCCAGGAUAAGCUGCACCAAAAUAUUUGCAGGUAACGUUAUCAAACUAGUAAAUCUUUCUGCGUACGUUUUCCAUAAACAUAUGUUUGUCGUCUGCCUAUUUCUGAUCUAAUUUUAACUUGCAAAACAAAUUAGCAUGAGCUGUAAAGAUAUGAUUGAUAUUUAAUCUCUGAUGGAAAAGGGGGAUAUUUACAUGCAUUCAUCAAAGUCCGAGUGGCGAUAGUUUAGUUUCAGUGCUUGGGGUAAUAUGUGGCUUAUUAUAAAUUUACAAUUUGGGUUGGACCUUUGUUGGGAUGACAUGGAGGGGUGAAAAAUAAGAAGAGGGAGCAAAUUGUGCACAUUUUCGUUGAAAGCAAUAUGCAUCAGUUUCUUCUUUAUGUUUAGAAAUGUAAUAAGUGAGACUUACAUGGGAAGUUAUGUUAGGUCCAGUGGCAUCUGCACUCAGCUGCUGAAAUGAGCGUCUUUUGAAAUGGAUGUCCAUUUAGAAUUAUUCCAGCACAGAAACUGAUAUGCUAAAUAUGUUUUACUAACACUUAACAGUAAGAUUUGAAGUUGAAGAAGUUCUUGCACAUUAUCGAGAAUUCAAGUGUGUUCCCUGUCAUUUAUGACCGCAACA